rnacentral:rRNA from 1 species
AUUGAACGCUGGCGGCAGGCUUAACACAUGCAAGUCGAGCGGAGUGAUGGUGCUUGCACUAUCACUUAGCGGCGGACGGGUGAGUAAUGCUUAGGAAUCUGCCUAUUAGUGGGGGACAACAUCUCGAAAGGGAUGCUAAUACCGCAUACGUCCUACGGGAGAAAGCAGGGGAUCACUUGUUACCUUCCGCUAAUAGAUUAGCCUUGGUCGGAUUAGCGAGUUGGUGGGGUAAAGGCCUACCAAGGCGACGAUCUGUAGCGGGUCUGAGAGGAUGAUCCGCCACACUGGGACUGAGACACGGCCCAGACUCCUACGGGAGGCAGGAGUGGGGAAUAUUGGACAAUGGGGGGAACCCUGAUCCAGCCAUGCCGCGUGUGUGAAGAAGGCCUUAUGGUUGUAAAGCACUUUAAGCGAGGAGGAGGCUCUUUUGGUUAAUACCCAAGAUGAGUGGACGUUACUCGCAGAAUAAGCACCGGCUAACUCUGUGCCAGCCGCCGCUGUAACAC